rnacentral:rRNA from 1 species
UGGGGAAUAUUAGACAAUGGGCGAAAGCCUGAUCCAGCCAUGCCGCAUGAGUGAAGAAGGCCUUUGGGUUGUAAAGCUCUUUUAGUGAGGAAGAUAAUGACGGUACUCACAGAAGAAGUCCUGGCUAACUCCGUGCCAGCAGCCGCGGUAAUACGGAGAGGGCUAGCGUUAUUCGGAAUUAUUGGGCGUAAAGGGCGCGUAGGCUGGUUAAUAAGUUAAAAGUGAAAUCCCGAGGCUUAACCUUGGAAUUGCUUUUAAAACUAUUAAUCUAGAGAUUGAAAGAGGAUAGAGGAAUUCCUGAUGUAGAGGUAAAAUUCGUAAAUAUUAGGAGGAACACCAGUGGCGAAGGCGUCUAUCUGGUUCAAAUCUGACGCUGAAGCGCGAAGGCGUGGGGAGCAAACA